rnacentral:lncRNA from 1 species
UUUUAGUUCCUGGCUCAGCAUGGUGCAGGCAGCUGGUUGUCUCCUGUGUUAGGGCUGAGGCCAUGAGCCACCUCUACUGAGGGUCCUGCAGGGCAUCAUGGUCCUCUGGCCUUGGCUGAGAUUCUUCUAGAACUAUUUAUGGGUAGCUGUCCAAUCUCUGAAAUGUGACUUGGAAAAUUUCAGAGCCUAUCAGAUUUCCUGACCAUAUCAGCUUUAGUCACAUCCAUCCCAAGGUCACCACCAGUGAGUUGCUGUUGCGUAGACAGUAAGGUGAGAAGAGCAAGAGAGCACAGUGCUGUUGAGAUGAGGAGGGGCGUCUGCCAUGACCAGUAGACACCAGCCUGCUUCCAGAGGAGGAAAUGGCUUCCGGGGAGAAGAUGAGCUUCAGGGUCUUUCCGCACUCACCUUGGGAAACCCUGAUARAAGGCCCCUCCGAGGGAAGCAAGACCCUUCUUCCAGAGUGGCACAUGUAGUUGGCAGCAGAGGAGCUGAUGGGAGCCUGGAAUCGGGUUCAACCUGGCCACAAGUUCAAGGUUAGACUCUGGAGCCUGCACUCCAGUAGGGACUAUUUUGUGGGCAAAAAAUCUUCCAAUUAAGAAUUGACGGGUUUCCCCACAGGGCUCCGUGCUCCGAGGGCUUCAUCCUCCGAGGCUCCCGUUCAGCUGAUGAGGACGUGGGUUUGGCCGUCUGUGUGGAUCUCUCAGGUGAUAGCUGUUAUCUCCAGUAAAGGGCCGCUCUGUGYCUCGUUCCUGGUCUGCAAACAUCUCUGGAGCGUCCUAGGUGCUGGGCUCUGGUGUGUAGGUGGAGCACCAAGCCAGGUGACCCCUCCCCUUGGACCUGUCAGCGGUCACUGAUCUCUGGAAGUGAAAUUUACAGGCCAGGGGCUGGUCAGAACUCCUGGGGGAAGACAGUAGGGUUAUCCCUGGCCACYGGGGUGCUUGGAAAUGAAUAUUUGCACCCUCAGCCAAGCUCUGGUGAAGUCUAACUUCAUUGCGCUACUCUACUUGCUCCUGAUGGGAGGGGACGAUGGCUUCCUCCUACCUCUAGCCGGGGGACCUUCAGGUGUGUACCAAAGUCCCUGACUGGCCGACCAGCUUUGGCUGGCUUCGGUCGAAUGAAGACAGACUGCAUGGAGUGAUCGCUGAAUCUAAAACUGUACCACAAGUUCUCUGGGAGUCGGGAAAGGUACUCAGCUCAUAAAAGCACAUUUCUAGCUACCACGUGUGCUGCGUUUUCUAAUUUAGAAAGCGCUUCAUCUCCUGGGUGUUGGUGGAAAUCAAAUGAGCAUGCACGCUGGGGCCUGAGGCUCUCACGGUUCCAGAACAGCUCUGCAGCUGGGGAGAUGCGCCCCACAGUCCCAGCACAAGGAAAGCUAAGGGGAAGGCGGGACUCAGGUUUUUUGAACUUUAAACUUUGCAUCUGCAGCUACAAGGGAGAUGCCUGCAAGCUGUGCUGACCUGUGGUUGGGGAGACGAGGGUGUGGCCCUGUAGGGCUCCUCCUGGCCCUGCCUGGUCCACUCUGGAGGUAUUUGGGUGUC